AUUAUAGAAUUAUUAUAUAUUAAGAUGAAAGCUUGGGAUGUAGGUCUGACCGUCUGUUCACCCUUUUGAAAUCGGCUCAAGAGGAUAUAUUUCACCAUCAAACAAAGUUAACAAAUAUGGGGAUUGCUGGAUUUGCUAGAGGCCUCUAUAUUUUCUACAAGACAGGGUCCAAGAGACUUUAUUUCUAAAAACCGCCUCUUGCUGAUUCUGAAUAGUGGAACAGCAAAAGGUCUUGUAUGGCACCUGUUUUUUGGCCGACCCCAUGUCAAUCAUAAUAUGGGAAACCCAGACGAAAAGUAUUAGUAUUAAAUUGUAAUUUUUAUAUUGUUUAAUUGUUAUUUGAUUAUUAUUAUAAAUUAUUAUUUGA